rnacentral:tmRNA from 1 species
GGGGGUGAUCGGUUUCGACUUCGGACGUCGAGACAGGGGAAGCGGGUCGAGGAUGAGCGGUUAUCUCGCUAACGCUCCGCUCAAAAAAACAGCUGCCAACAAGACGCAGCCUGUUGACGCUUACGCCCUCGCGGCCUAAGUAGUUCAACCGUCAGCCUGGGAGUUCCUCCGGCCCAGGGUCUGGCGUCGCUAGGAGGAUCACCGCUUGGCCCGGUCGCGGGGCAAGGCGGAAAACCAAACAGCGACUGGGCCUAUGUCAGCUUGCCUGCGAGUCUGACGGGGCCGAGAAACAAGUAGCAGGCUCCGCCCGAAGAAGCCCUGGUUCGGUGCCGGAGGACGCGGGUUCGAUUCCCGCCACCUCCACUC